AUAGUACUCCCUCCGUCCGAAAAUACUUGUCAUCAAAAUGAAUAAAAAGGGAUGUAUUUAGAACUAAAAUACGUCUAGAUACAUCCCCUUUUGUUCAUUUUGAUGACAAGUAUUUCCGGACGGAGGGAGUACAUU
rnacentral:pre_miRNA from 1 species